rnacentral:rRNA from 1 species
AUUGAACGCUGGCGGAAUGCUUUACACAUGCAAGUCGAACGGCAGCACGGACUUCGGUCUGGUGGCGAGUGGCGAACGGGUGAGUAAUGUAUCGGAACGUGCCCAGUCGUGGGGGAUAACGUAGUGAAAAUUACGCUAAUACCGCAUACGAUCUAUGGAUGAAAGCGGGGGAUCGCAAGACCUCGCGCGAUUGGAGCGGCCGAUAUCAGAUUAGGUAGUUGGUGGGGUAAAGGCCCACCAAGCCAACGAUCUGUAGCUGGUCUGAGAGGACGACCAGCCACACUGGAACUGAGACACGGUCCAGACUCCUACGGGAGGCAGCAGUGGGGAAUUUUGGACAAUGGGGGCAACCCUGAUCCAGCAAUGCCGCGUGAGUGAAGAAGGCCUUCGGGUUGUAAAACUCUUUUGUCAGGGAAGAAACAGCAGCUCUAAUACAGUUUGCGAAUGACGGUACCUGAAGAAUAAGCACCGGCUAACUACGUG